AUUGAACGCUGGCGGCAUGCCUUACACAUGCAAGUCGAACGGCAGCACGGGAGCAAUCCUGGUGGCGAGUGGCGAACGGGUGAGUAAUAUAUCGGAACGUGCCCAGUCGUGGGGGAUAACGCAGCGAAAGCUGUGCUAAUACCGCAUACGAUCUACGGAUGAAAGCGGGGGAUCGCAAGACCUCGCGCGAUUGGAGCGGCCGAUAUCAGAUUAGCUAGUUGGUGGGGUAAAGGCCCACCAAGGCGACGAUCUGUAGCUGGUCUGAGAGGACGACCAGCCACACUGGAACUGAGACACGGUCCAGACUCCUACGGGAGGCAGCAGUGGGGAAUUUUGGACAAUGGGCGCAAGCCUAAUCCAGCAAUGCCGCGUGCAGGAUGAAGGCCUUCGGGUUGUAAACUGCUUUUGUACGGAACGAAACGGCCCUUUCUAAUACAGGGGGCUAAUGACGGUACCGUAAGAAUAAGCACCGGCUAACUACGUGCCAGCCGCCGCCGUAACAC
rnacentral:rRNA from 1 species